GGGAAAAGAAACUUGUAAUGAAUUGUGCCAAAAUGAUUGUUCAUAUUGCAAAAUAAUUCUAAGAUAUUAAUUGAAUAGAAUGUAUUAAAUGCAUCUAAAAGAAAGGGAUAUGGGGACACCUACAGGUGACUAAGGUAACCUAUCAGUGGAAUUGGCCAUUUUCUCCUCAGUCGCAUGAAAGCCGUUGAGGAGAAUGUUAUGAGACCGGAUGAGCUGUAUUUCAUGUCUGUUUGGUGUCAUUUCAUAUAUUCCAGUAAAUGCGAUGAGUGAGCUCAGCC